UGUCCUUUUGAUUAUAAUUUAAGGUCUAAUCUGCCCACUGAGUAUUUAAAUGGCCGCAGUAUUCUGACUGUGCAAAGGUAGCAUAAUAAUUAGUUUCUUAAUUAGAAGCUGGAAUGAAAGAUUGAAUGAGAAAAUAACUGUCUCAAUUUAAUUUAAUUAGAAUUUUAUUUUUAAGUUAAAAAGCUUAAAUAUUAUUGAAAGACGAGAAGACCCUAUAGAGUUUUAUUUAAUUUUAUAAUAAAAAAAAAUUGAUUUUAAAUUUUUUAUUAAAAAAUUAAAUUUUGUUGGGGUGACAAAAAAAUUUAAUUAACUUUUUUUAUAUUAAAACAUUAAUUAAUGAAUUUUUGAUCCAAAAAUUUUGAUUAUAAGAUAAAAUUACCUUAGGGAUAACAGCGUAAUUUUUUUUGAGAGUUCUUAUCGAAAAAAAAGAUUGCGACCUCGAUGUUGGAUUAAAGUAUAAUUUUGGUGUAGAAGCUAAAAAUUUAGGUCUGUUCGACCUUUAAAACUUU
rnacentral:rRNA from 1 species